rnacentral:rRNA from 1 species
AUGCUCCUCCUCCUCCUCCUCUCCACCUCCAACCCACCAUCCACCGCCGCAGCUGCCCUCCAGCAUCCUCCACCCCAGUCCCGCCACAGCCCCGCAGAGUACAGCACGUACAUAGUGCUCCUGAGGCCACGCCCGGACGGCGCGCACCUCACCAUGAGCGAGGAGGCGCGCCGCGAGUGGCACCUAUCCUUCCUUCCCGGCGCUUUCACCGACGACGGCAGGCGGCGCCUCGUCAGCUCGUACGGAACGAUCUUCUACGGGUUCUGCGCCUUGCUCACAGGGGAGGAGCUCGACGCUGUCUCGAGGAUGGCCGGCUUCGGCCGGUCGUUCCUCGCGGGCAACAUGUACCCCGUGACAACUCGAACUCCAGAGUUCCUCGGGCUCACCAAGUCCGCCGGCUACGUCUGGGACGACUCCAACUACGGAAAAGGUGCCAUCAUAGGCGUCGUCGACACUGGAGCACACUGGCAGCACCCCUCCUUCGACGACAGCGGCAUGCCCCCGCCGCCGGAAAAAUGGCGGGGCGACUGCGACAACUCCUUCGGCUUCCGCUGCAACAACAAGAUAAUUGGUGCCAAGUCAUUCGCCGGCGACGGCUACGGCCCCGACGAUAAAGUGGGCCACGGUACGCACGUCGCAUCAAUUGCCGCCGGGAACUUUGUUCCCAACGCUUCUUACUUCAGAGGCGGCCAGGCCGCCGGGACGGCUGCCGGGACCUCUCCGGCAGCGCACCUUGCGAUCUACAGGGUCUGCCGUCCCAGUCCCACGGUGUGCCCCGACUAUGCCAUCGUCGACGCGUUUGAGGCGGCGGUGAAAGAUGGCGUAGACAUAAUCUCCGUCUCCCUCGGCCAAAAAACAGUGCCCCCAGUACCGGACUACAAGGACCCGGUGACCUUGGCCGCGUUCCGCGCCGUCUCCAGGGGAGUACUCGUCGUGGCUGCUGCGGGCAACAAGGGCCCGUCCCCGUCGACUUUCGUCAACGACGCGCCUUGGUACUUCACCGUCGGCGCCGGCUCCGUCGACCGCCGAAUCGUCGCCGACAUAGUGCUCGACGACGGCGACAUCCUGGAAGGAGAGGCGCUGAUUCAGGGGGUCAGCUCCAGUAGGUACUUCCCCCUGUACUGCCCCGACCGGCGAUGCUUGGGCGUGAGCACCCAGAACGCGAGUGGGCACAUCGUCGUCUGCGACGACUUACCCUCCGGCGUCGCCAAGGAUCUGUACAAUAAAGGCGCGGCGCAUGUGGUGUCGGUCUCCGAUCAGAUAUCGGGACACACGUUGCUGCUGGAGGAUGACGGUGUUCCGACGGUUCAGGUGCCCUUCACCACCGGCCAGAAGCUAAGGGAGUACUGCAAGUUUCCGGACGCCGCGGCUCAGGUGUCGUUCCGCGGCACGCUCGUCGACGUUGCUGGGGCACCAAUGACGGCCUACUUCUCGAGCCGAGGCCCCAGCUCCAACCCGUCCGUCCUCAAGCCCGACAUCCUCGCGCCGGGCCUGAACAUCCUCGCCGCCGGGAUCGAGACAGAGAGGCCUUUCGUAUUCAUGUCCGGGACGUCCAUGGCCACGCCCCAUGUCAGCGGCGUGGCUGCCCUGCUGAAGGGGCUCCACCCCGAUUGGUCACCGGCGGCCCUUCGGUCAGCCAUUGUGACGACGGCCUCCGCGUACGACAACGUCGGGGAUGUCAUCCUCGACGAGCAGAAGCAAAGAGCCUCGCUCUUCGACAUCGGCGGCGGUCACAUCACACCCCAGGCCGCCGCCGACCCCGGCCUCGUCUACGAGAUGAACGCCACGGACUACGGCGCGUUCCUGUGCAACGUGCUCGCCGGCCCCCACGAUGACAUACAAGACCUGAUCGGCGAUCAGGGGCUGAACUGCUCCACCCUUCCCGCCGGCGUUCAGGGCUUCCAGCUCAAUUACCCAAGCAUUGUGGUGCCGGCGAACACCACGGUUCAGCGGACGCUCACCAGAGUUGGGCCGGCAGAUGGAGGGGAGACGUACUACCUCUUUGUGUACAUGAGGGACCCCUCGGUGAAAGUGAACGUCUCGCCCCGGACGCUUGAAUUCAGCAAUCCCGGCGACAAGCAGAUCUUCCUUGUCUCCGGCGAAUACCAAGGCAAGAACAAGACGGUUGAAGGCGUUUUGAUCUGGAAUACUGCCCACCACCAGAUCAAUACCCGCAUGGUCGUCCACAUAUGA